UGGGGAAUAUUGCACAAUGGGCGCAAGCCUGAUGCAGCCAUGCCGCGUGUAUGAAGAAGGCCUUCGGGUUGUAAAGUACUUUCAGCGGGGAGGAAGGGAGUAAAGUUAAUACCUUUGCUCAUUGACGUUACCCGCAGAAGAAACACCGGCUAACUCCGUGCCAGCAGCCGCGGUAAUACGGAGGGUGCAAGCGUUAAUCGGAAUUACUGGGCGUAAAGCGCACGCAGGCGGUUUGUUAAGUCAGAUGUGAAAUCCUCGGGCUCAACCUGGGAACUGCAUCUGAUACUGGCAAGCUUGAGUCUCGUAGAGGGGGGUAGAAUUCCAGGUGUAGCGGUGAAAUGCGUAGAGAUCUGGAGGAAUACCGGUGGCGAAGGCGGCCCCCUGGACGAAGACUGACGCUCAGGUGCGAAAGCGUGGGGAGCAAACAGG
rnacentral:rRNA from 1 species